UGCGCAGGCGGAAUGAUUAGUCAGUGGUGAAAGCCCUCGGCUCAACCGAGGAACUGCCAUUGAUACUGUCAUUCUUGAGUACAGUUGUAGUGGGCGGAAUGUGUCAUGUAGCGGUGAAAUGCAUAGAGAUGACACAGAACACCGAUCGCGAAGGCAGCUCACUAAGCUGAAACUGACGCUCAGGCACGAAAGCGUGGGGAGCAAACAGGAUUAGAUACCCUGGUAGUCC
rnacentral:rRNA from 1 species